rnacentral:rRNA from 1 species
AGAGUUUGAUCAUGGCUCAGAUUGAACGCUGGCGGCAGGCCUAACACAUGCAAGUCGAGCGGUAGCACAGAGAGCUUGCUCUCGGGUGACGAGCGGCGGACGGGUGAGUAAUGUCUGGGAAACUGCCUGAUGGAGGGGGAUAACUACUGGAAACGGUAGCUAAUACCGCAUAACGUCGCAAGACCAAAGUGGGGGACCUUCGGGCCUCAUGCCAUCAGAUGUGCCCAGAUGGGAUUAGCUAGUAGGUGGGGUAACGGCUCACCUAGGCGACGAUCCCUAGCUGGUCUGAGAGGAUGACCAGCCACACUGGAACUGAGACACGGUCCAGACUCCUACGGGAGGCAGCAGUGGGGAAUAUUGCACAAUGGGCGCAAGCCUGAUGCAGCCAUGCCGCGUGUGUGAAGAAGGCCUUCGGGUUGUAAAGCACUUUCAGCGGGGAGGAAGGCGNUAAGGUUAAUAACCUUGGCGAUUGACGUUACCCGCAGAAGAAGCACCGGCUAACUCCGUGCCAGCAGCCGCGGUAAUACGGAGGGUGCAAGCGUUAAUCGGAAUUACUGGGCGUAAAGCGCACGCAGGCGGUCUGUCAAGUCGGAUGUGAAAUCCCCGGGCUCAACCUGGGAACUGCAUUCGAAACUGGCAGGCUAGAGUCUUGUAGAGGGGGGUAGAAUUCCAGGUGUAGCGGUGAAAUGCGUAGAGAUCUGGAGGAAUACCGGUGGCGAAGGCGGCCCCCUGGACAAAGACUGACGCUCAGGUGCGAAAGCGUGGGGAGCAAACAGGAUUAGAUACCCUGGUAGUCCACGCCGUAAACGAUGUCGAUUUGGAGGUUGUGCCCUUGAGGCGUGGCUUCCGGAGCUAACGCGUUAAAUCGACCGCCUGGGGAGUACGGCCGCAAGGUUAAAACUCAAAUGAAUUGACGGGGGCCCGCACAAGCGGUGGAGCAUGUGGUUUAAUUCGAUGCAACGCGAAGAACCUUACCUGGUCUUGACAUCCACAGAACUUUCCAGAGAUGGAUUGGUGCCUUCGGGAACUGUGAGACAGGUGCUGCAUGGCUGUCGUCAGCUCGUGUUGUGAAAUGUUGGGUUAAGUCCCGCAACGAGCGCAACCCUUAUCCUUUGUUGCCAGCGGUUAGGCCGGGAACUCAAAGGAGACUGCCAGUGAUAAACUGGAGGAAGGUGGGGAUGACGUCAAGUCAUCAUGGCCCUUACGACCAGGGCUACACACGUGCUACAAUGGCAUAUACAAAGAGAAGCGACCUCGCGAGAGCAAGCGGACCUCAUAAAGUAUGUCGUAGUCCGGAUUGGAGUCUGCAACUCGACUCCAUGAAGUCGGAAUCGCUAGUAAUCGUAGAUCAGAAUGCUACGGUGAAUACGUUCCCGGGCCUUGUACACACCGCCCGUCACACCAUGGGAGUGGGUUGCAAAAGAAGUAGGUAGCUUAACCUUCGGGAGGGCGCUUACCACUUUGUGAUUCAUGACUGGGGUGAAGUCGUAACAAGGUAACCGUAGGGGAACCUGCGGUUGGAUCACCU